UACGAGGGGGGCUAGCGUUGCUCGGAAUUACUGGGCGUAAAGGGAGCGUAGGCGGAUAGUUUAGUCAGAGGUGAAAGCCCAGGGCUCAACCUUGGAACAGCCUUUGAUACUGGCUAUCUUGAGUACGGGAGAGGUGAGUGGAACUCCGAGUGUAGAGGUGAAAUUCGUAGAUAUUCGGAAGAACACCAGUGGCGAAGGCGACUCACUGGCCCGUUACUGACGCUGAGGCUCGAAAGCGUGGGGAGCAAACAGG
rnacentral:rRNA from 1 species